AACGAACGCUGGCGGCAUGCCUAACACAUGCAAGUCGAACGAGACCUUCGGGUCUAGUGGCGCACGGGUGCGUAACGCGUGGGAAUCUGCCCUUGGGUUCGGAAUAACAGCGAGAAAUUGCUGCUAAUACCGGAUGAUGACGUAAGUCCAAAGAUUUAUCGCCCAAGGAUGUGCCCGCGUAGGAUUAGCUAGUUGGUGAGGUAAAGGCUCACCAAGGCGACGAUCCUUAGCUGGUCUGAGAGGAUGAUCAGCCACACUGGGACUGAGACACGGCCCAGACUCCUACGGGAGGCAGCAGUGGGGAAUAUUGGACAAUGGGGCGAAAGCCUGAUCCAGCAAUGCCGCGUGAGCGACGAAGCCUUUGGGGUGUAAAGCUCUGUCAGCAGGGACGAAAAAAAUAGACGGUACCUGCAGAGGAAGCAUCGGCUAACUACGUGCCAGCAGCCGCGGUAAU
rnacentral:rRNA from 1 species